rnacentral:rRNA from 1 species
AUGCACGCUGGCGGCGUGCCUAAUCCAUGCAAGUCGAGCGAACAGACGAGGAGCUUGCUCCUCUGACGUUAGCGGCGGACGGGUGAGUAACACGUGGAUAACCUACCUAUAAGACUGGGAUAACUUCGGGAAACCGGAGCUAAUACCGGAUAAUAUAUUGAACCGCAUGGUUCAAUAGUGAAAGACGGUUUUGCUGUCACUUAUAGAUGGAUCCGCGCCGCAUUAGCUAGUUGGUAAGGUAACGGCUUACCAAGGCAACGAUGCGUAGCCGACCUGAGAGGGUGAACGGCCACACUGGAACUGAGACACGGUCCAGACUCCUACGGGAGGCAGCAGUAGGGAAUCUUCCGCAAUGGGCGAAAGCCUGACGGAGCAACGCCGCGUGAGUGAUGAAGGUCUUCGGAUCGUAAAACUCUGUUAUUAGGGAAGAACAAAUGUGUAAGUAACUAUGCACGUCUUGACGGUACCUAAUCAGAAAGCCACGGCUAACUACGUG